GGUACCUACAGAAGAAGUCCUGGCUAACUCCGUGCCAGCAGCCGCGGUAAUACGGAGAGGGCUAGCGUUAUUCGGAAUUAUUGGGCGUAAAGGGCGCGUAGGCGGAUUAGUAAGUUAAAAGUGGAAACCCCAGACUCCACCUUGUAAUUGCUUUUUAAAAUGCUAAUCUUGAAGAUGAAAAAAGAUAAAAGAAUUCCUAGUGGUGAAGUGGAAAUCGUAAAAAAUAGGAGGAACAACAGUGGCGGAGGCGGCUUUUUUCUUCAAAACUGACGCUGAAGCGCGAAGGCGUGGGGAGCAAACAGGAUUAGAUACCCUGGUAGUCCACGCUGUAAACGAUGAGUGCUA
rnacentral:rRNA from 1 species